rnacentral:lncRNA from 1 species
CUAGUGUAGAAAACUGAGACUGCACUAAAAAAGGCUAAAAUAAUAUGAAGCUAAAGUAUUAUAUUUUCAGAAACCCUUCAGUGAAGAUUUCCUUUAUAAUAACUAAUUUCAUCCUUUCUUCUUAUAUGUGACAUAUUUUCAACCAAUACACAUGAGUCACGUUGUUCACAAGAUCUGUUUUCCUAGCUUUGGCUGUGCUGCAAGAUUGUUGAGAGGAUGCCAAGGCUGUGGCAGCUGCGACGCAUUCUUUGUCUCUGUACCAGGACGGACUGACCAGGAGCAGGAUGUCUUGCACCCACAGCACCAGACCUGCACGCAGAAAAUAUCUGUAGGCAACUUUUAUAUAAAACAUGAUGUGCAUGAGCAAUGUUAUGAUCUGCUACAUGAUGCUGAUGGCAGAAAGAACCUUCCUCUCAGGACUCAUGGCUUCAGUCAAACCAGGAUACCGGCGUAACUUCUGUGAACUAAAUGCAAACACUUCUGACAGCUUUGUGGCUCUUUGCCAGCAAUUUUGCAGCAGGCGUCUCCUUACAGGUAAGGCUGCCACCUGCUCACAAUGGCUCCUCAUGCAUGGGGCUCUGUUUUCCCCUGUUCCCUGCUCUGGAGAUGGCAGGGCUGUGAAUGAUAAUGUGCUGCCAGCCAUUCAGCAUUUUGCUUUUUGUGAUACCAUUCCAUAAAGCAGUGUCUUUUGAUAUUAACUCUGAGUUUAACUACAGCAAAGUAACAAGGCAUCUCCCUCACAAGGAAAAAAAUAGAGCUGAGAAAAUGGCAUUUGGCUGUUACAGAGCUGCUACUAACCUUAGCACUGAAUAUAUUGCUUCAGACUUCUUGUCUUCAGUUCAUUAGCCAGAACUCUUCUGACAUGAGCAUGGUUUUGUUGUAUUUCUAUCUCACAUCCCUUGUUUCUGUCAGUUUGACUUCGUUGCUAUGUAUAAAAUCAAACUGAGCCUUGUUUUACAAUCCCAGCGUUGUCUGUGGAAUCCGACCAGCACAAGAGCUCCAUUAGCAAUGUUAUUCUUCUCUGUAGUCACUGUCACACUCAGUUAAGCUCCAGUUUUAUUUUCUGUCAUAAAACAGCAUUCUUGGUCACAGUAAUUCUGUUACCACAACGAUGUGAGAACCAGUAAAAUAUAUUAAUGAAUUAAUAAAGAUGUAUGUGGCUUAGUUUACA